UCCCGGUUGCUCUGACACAAAAGCAACAAGACACCGAGGGCUGCUUUGAGAAAAAGAAGCUGAAAUCCUACAGGAGAGCAAAUAGCGCAAAAGCUCUCCAAGAAAGUAAUGAACAUUAACAAUGGAAGUGGAAUCAGAAUCCUAUAAUGCAAGAAAUACUGCUGGGUCAGCUGGACACAGAAGGUGCAUCAGUGAUUUCACGAGAAGAGCACCAGAUGCAUGCAACUAAUAAAGCAAACAAGUAAGCAAGAAUACAGCUUACACUACUGCUUUCUCCAGCAAAGUUCUCUGUUUCAGAUGUACAGACCGUGACUUGAGACAAUGCAUUGCCUUGGUGGUUUGAUUUCCCAGAUUCAAAAGGCAGUAUUUCCUGAACAAAGAGCAGCUGAGUGACAUCCCAGGAGAAAGUGCAGUGGUAGGAAGAAUCUUGCACGCAUACACAAAGCAAAUCCAUGUUUUGCAUCAAGGGAAUAAUUGUCAGCCAAGACCCUAGAGAUGGUAAAUUGUCUGUUUCACAUAUACUAAUGGGAACUCAAACAUUAAGUCAAAUAACCCCCCGAGAUGAUGCAAUGUUGAAAAGCAAGUUGUUAACAAAGAGAGGGG